rnacentral:ribozyme from 1 species
UGCGAGCCACAUGCAGAAAGUAGCCAUGGUAACAACAA